AUCGCCUUGGCAAAUACCUUCCUGAGUUCAGCCUGGGCAGAAGGCGACCCAUAAUCCCUCCUCCCCAGCCCUACACUGCCUUCCAGCCUUGGCCCAGACAGCGAGACAAGCACUUUCUCUCUGUUUUCGUGAUGCUUCUAGCGGCACAGUCAGCCUGGGGGCUCUGCCAGCUCAGGAGCCACGAGCCCAGACUCUGAGGGAUUUGGUUUGAUGUUUUUAGAUAUCAAAGGAAGUUCUCCAGGAACCCUGCAACUAAAGACUUUAAUGAGGACCAUGCCCAAGAAAUCCUGGCUGCCAAAUACAUGAUGAUGAUUUAUGUCGCUCACUCACUCCCUAACAGCAAGAGGACUAUUUGUAAAAAUAAAAAAGCUGCU
rnacentral:lncRNA from 1 species